rnacentral:rRNA from 1 species
AGGACGAACGCUGGCGGCGUGCUUAACACAUGCAAGUCGAGCGGAAAGGCCCUUCGGGGUACUCGAGCGGCGAACGGGUGAGUAACACGUGAGUAACCUGCCCCUAGCUCUGGGAUAGCUCCGGGAAACCGGGAUUAAUACCAGAUACGACCACUUUAGACAUCUGUCGUGGUGGAAAGGAUUCCGGCUAGGGAUGGGCUCGCGGCCUAUCAGCUUGUUGGUGGGGUAACGGCCUACCAAGGCGACGACGGGUAGCCGGCCUGAGAGGGCGACCGGCCACACUGGGACUGAGACACGGCCCAGACUCCUACGGAAGGCAGCAGUGGGGAAUAUUGCGCAAUGGGCGAAAGCCUGACGCAGCGACGCCGCGUGGGGGAUGAAGGCCUUCGGGUUGUAAACCCCUUUCAGCAGGGACGAAGCGAAAGUGACGGUACCUGCAGAAGAAGCGCCGGCUAACUACGCGCCAGCAGCCGC